rnacentral:rRNA from 2 species
GUCGAGCGGAUGAGUGGAGCUUGCUCCAUGAUUCAGCGGCGGACGGGUGAGUAAUGCCUAGGAAUCUGCCUGGUAGUGGGGGACAACGUUUCGAAAGGARCGCUAAUACCGCAUACGUCCUACGGGAGAAAGUGGGGGAUCUUCGGACCUCACGCUAUCAGAUGAGCCUAGGUCGGAUUAGCUAGUUGGUGAGGUAAAGGCUCACCAAGGCGACGAUCCGUAACUGGUCUGAGAGGAUGAUCAGUCACACUGGAACUGAGACACGGUCCAGACUCCUACGGGAGGCAGCAGUGGGGAAUAUUGGACAAUGGGCGAAAGCCUGAUCCAGCCAUGCCGCGUGUGUGAAGAAGGUCUUCGGAUUGUAAAGCACUUUAAGUUGGGAGGAAGGGCAGUAAGUUAAUACCUUGCUGUUUUGACGUUACCAACAGAAUAAGCACCGGCUAACUUCGUGCCAGCAGCCGCGGUAAUACGAAGGGUGCAAGCGUUAAUCGGAAUUACUGGGCGUAAAGCGCGCGUAGGUGGUUCGUUAAGUUGGAUGUGAAAGCCCCGGGCUCAACCUGGGAACUGCAUCCAAAACUGGCGAGCUAGAGUAUGGCAGAGGGUGGUGGAAUUUCCUGUGUAGCGGUGAAAUGCGUAGAUAUAGGAAGGGAACACCAGUGGCGAAGGCGACCACCUGGGCUAAUACUGACACUGAGUGCGAAAGCGUGGGGAGCAAACAGGAUUAGAUACCCUGGUAGUCCACGCCGUAAACGAUGUCGACUAGCCGUUGGGAUCAUGAGAUCUUAGUGGCGCAGCUAACGCA